UUCUAAAAUUUGCUUAUAUUUAUUUUAUUACUGAAAUUGUACAAAAUUUUAUUAAAAUAUUUUUAUAAAUAAUUAAAUUUUAAAAAUUAACAUAAAAUAAUACUUAAAAUUUUUGGUGUUACGGCCAGAGAAAAGGGUUUAACUACCUCCCACUAUUUUAUAGAAGAAUCUGCAAUUAAUUUAAUAAUAACUCAGGGAUCGUUCGCAAAUCACCUCACAUAUUUAAGCCUAGCGUGGUUUCGGAUUUUGUGACACUUUGGGGAGCUUUUUUAUUUUUAGUAACAGGUUUUUUUAAAUUUUGGGGCCCUAAUGACUUUUUUAGUGUAAACGCUGUAUACACUGGUUUGAUAAUGGCUCUCUGAAAUGCCAGUCCUGGCUAGCCGUAAAACGAGUAUUGCUGAGCAGCGCAAGAGUUAUUGCCGAAGCGUAACAUCAGACAUCUGCCCGAGAAAAAAAAACCCGCUAAUACUACUAGGAAUAUGUUUAACUUCCUGCUAAUCCUGUUAAGUUCCUGCUAAUACGGCUAAUCCUGUUCCAUCUCAAACCAUGUACAAUCAAUCAGCUUCAGAUUAUAAUAGCUUUGAAACAAUGAUAAUGAAAGUUUUUUCAUCGUUCUAAAUUUAUACUACAGUUAUGGUCGUAAAAGAUUAAGAAAAAUCUUAUGGGUGCAAUUAUUCCACUGACACCUGCGAAAAAUACCAAAAGAACUGACCAUUGCUGUUUAUUGUAUUUUUUUAAAUGUUUUAGUUAAACAAUCUAACACUUAA